rnacentral:lncRNA from 1 species
GACACCAGUAACCAUAGGAGCACAUUGAUGCCAAGAGUUAUAUAAUCCAGGCCUCUUGCCAUGAAAUACAACAUAGACUUUUGAAGCUUUGUUCCUAUUCCCCCAUUCCUUAUUCUAACCCUAAGAAAGAUAAGAGAUGAAGAAGGAAAAAACAAAGAUAGAAAAAUAAGGGCUGGAAAAGCUUCUUAGGUGAAGCACUAUAUAUUAAGUGUUUAGGGUUAGAAAGUGACCAAUGCAAGAUAAAUACCGGUAGUUUAAUUUUUAUACGUAUUUCCUCUAAUAUAUUAUGUGUAUAUUAUAGUGUAUUUCGUUUAAUUGGUAUAAUAUAUGUAUAUUUAGUGUAUUUCGUUUAAUUAGUAUAGUAUAUGUGUUUGUGCUUUAUGGAAAAUGAUAUAGCAUGCAUCUUGGGAAGGUAAGACAAUUAAAUUAGUGAGAGAGAAUUGUUUGAAAAAAAUUAAAUUUAAAAAGAAAAUAUGCCAAAGGGUAUAUAUGAAAACGAAAAUGCACAACUAUUCAUUAUGCCCUCAAAAGCCAUGCGAAAUUACCAUUAUACCCCCAUUUUGGACAUUUGGGUCAUUCUUAGUGUGGCCAAAUAUAUUUUUCGUUAUAUAAAUUUCUAUACAUAUUGUAGUUUUAGUUGAGGUUUGGUAACUUCUUACUCCCUCCGUUCACUUUUACGUGGCACAUUUUGAUUUUUCACGCCCUUAAGAAAUAAUAAAUGAAGUGCAUAAUUUACCAUGAUCCCCAUAUUAAUUGUUGCAUAUUUUAUUGGAUUUGAGAAAAUGGUUUGAAAUGAGUAAUAAAUGCUCUGAGUAUAACAAAAAAAAAUUGUCAUUCUCUUGAUAUGCGUAAAGUGACAAGUAAAAAUGAAAAUCUAUUUUUAGUAUACAUUCCAAGUAAAAGUGAACGGAGAAAGUAUUAAUUAAGUAAUACCAAACCAAAUUAAAAAUUACAAACUUUGUACUUAAAUACCAAGUUAUAUCAAAUCAAGCCGCAUAAUGAUGUUUUAGAAAUUAAUUUAAUUUAUCAGUUUGAUUUGUUAUUCAGUUAAUGUUGAAUACCCAACUUAUAAUAGCCCGUUUGGACAUAAGAAUAUUUUUACUUUUUUCGAUUUUUUUUCGAAAUCAAUGCUUGGUCAUAAAAAUGUCAAUUUUCACUUGAAGAUGAAUUUUGAAAAACUUAAAAAAGUUAUUUUUCAAAAAUUUUCACUCAACUUCAAAAGUAACUCAAAAUUAUAUUCAUGUCCAAACAGAACUCUAAUUUUCAAAUAUCAUUUUCAUUUGAAAUUUUUUUAUACUUUUUUUUUUUGAAAUUUUACAAUUCUUAUGUCCAAACGUCCACUAAGAAUUUUUAUUUAUGAAAAAAAAACUUAUAUGUUCAUUUAUUUCUUCGUAUUAAUUUAUUCAUUCAUUCGUUCAAUCUUCACCCACCUAUCUCCUCGAUUCCCGAGCCCUCCCAAAUUUGAAUUCAAACAAAAAAUUUCCACCAAUAACUGAGUGCCACGUCCCCGGUCUGGCGUUGGGGGUGUUAACCCAAAGUCCAUUUCAAAACCUCACAAAAACCCUAGCAAAUCCACCACUUUUUGAAAAUUGUACUACUUGAAUGGUUUGGCAUUUUCUCUGAGCCGUAGGAAACAAAACCCUAGAAAAACUCUUCACCUCUCAAUCAAUCUUCUUAUCUCAUCUUCAAAUCUUUUUCCCAAUUUUCCAAAAACCAAAACCCACCACAAAAACUCUUUAGUACACUCACAAUGGCCAAAAAGAAGGCAGCCCCCCAAACUGAAGAGGGAAAGGAAAAGCAGCAGCAGGUGAAAGAACGCAAUCACUCUGCAGCCAUGGAAGAAGCUUCUGAGAAACUUGAAAGCCUAAAGAGCCUCAAUAACAUGCUUCUCAAGGAGACCAUUGAGAAACGGCAACAGGUGGACUCACUCGUGCAAGCAAAAAGCUCUCUGGAAUCGGAACUCAAAAGGUCUAACUCGGAGAAGGACGAGCUGAAGGCCCAGUUGACUCGGCUGAACGAAGAUGUUGUUCAGUUGGAGAUUGAGAAGAAGCUGGUGUCCGUAUUUGUCUCUGUGCAGGUUGCUUACCAUGCUGAGGUGGCUGAGAAGGAGAGGGACGGGUUUCGCAUACAGAAUGAUGCGGUUGAGAAGAAACUUGAGAGUUUAGAGAGAGAAAUGAGUGAUCUUAUGAAGGAGAAGGAUGAGAUUGAGAAGGCGAGGAUUGAAAAAGAGAGAGAGAUUGAAAGCCUUAAGGAGAAACUGAAUGCUAUUGCAUAUGAGGUUGCCCGUGAGAGGAAUGUUUCGGAGGAUAUUCGUAAGGAGAAGGAUGAAAUGAAAACGAGACUUGAUGCUCAAAUAGAGGAAUCAAAUGGGUUGAGCGUGAAGUUGGUUGAAACUGAGAAGAAAGAGAAAGAGAUUGAACUAGAAGCUGGGAAAUUAAGGGUUGGAUACAAUGCCCUUUUGGAGGAAAUCAAGGACAGAGAAAGCAAGAUUCAGUCCAUGGUGACAGAGAAGGAAUUAGUCGAGAAAAGGUUGUUGGAUUCGAAUAAGGAGAUUGAAGAACUGAGGGUACAGAUUGAUGGGAUUGUUGGGGAAAAAGAAGGGAUUGAAGGGGAGAGAAAUGCAGAAGCGAAGAAGAGCAGUGAGUUGCAGAACACAGUCACUGGUCUCAAUGAGACGGUGCUGAGUUUGCAGAAGGAGGCGGCAAAAUUGCGUGAAAAUUUGGUUGAGUUAGAGAACAAGUGUGUGGAAGGAUCCAGGAAGGAAGAUGAGAUGGAGAAGAAGAUUAAUGAACUUGUGAAGGGAAACAAUGAGAAAGAGAGCAGAGUUGAGAGUUUGAUUGAAGAAAAGGGCUUUGUUGAGAAGGAAUUGGACAAGGCAUUGAAGCAGUUAGAUGAAGAGAAGAAGAAGAUUGAGCAAACUCUCACAGAGAAGAAUGAGAUGGAAGAGGCUAAAGUUGGGAGGGAGGCUGAAAUUGUUGAAUUGCAGAAACAAUUAGUUGAAUUCAAGGAUGUUAUUUCUGAAUUAGAGGUGUCUUGCAAUGGUCAGGAAGAGAAAGUGAAGAGUUUGGAAUCUGAAGUUGGGAAGUAUAAGGCUGCAUUGGAGCGAGUUGCGCUUGAGAAGGAUGAGAUACAAAAGUGUUUUGAUGACGAGAAACAGAAUGUCAUGAACAUGAAGAAACAGAUUGAAGAAAUGGAGAAACACAUUCAAGAAAUUGUUCAGGAGGUUGAACGAACCAAGGCUGAUCACCUCAAUGUGGUUGGAGAAAAGAAAGAGAUGGAAACUCGAUGCCAAGCGUUGAACAAGGAAAUUGCAUAUGUGCAAACUUCACUUGGCGAAGCACAGAAGGAAAUCAGUGCUAUGCAGUGCAAGGUUGUAUUGGCAAACAGUAGUUCCGAGGAAAUCUUGAAUGCUUUGAGGACUGUUGCAGGUUCAAUCUGCUCGAAUGAUCAAGGAGCAAAUGGCAAUGUACUUCGUGAAAAACAAAUGAAUGAGGAAGAUGUCAAGCCUUAUGAAGCAGAGUUGGAGGCCAUCACGAAUGCAAUCAAGAGUAAAGAGAACAAAGUAGAUGAGAUGAAGAGACAGGUUGAGUUCCUUCAGCUUUCGGUAGUACAAGCACAAAAGAAGAAGAAUUUUUGGACCAUGUUAUCUUCUGCAACAACACUUUUUGCUGCAAUUUCUCUUGCAUAUGUUGCUCGUGGCCAUUGAAUGAGGGAGUCAUUUAGUUUUAUCCAAACUGUUAACCGCAAGUUCCAAGAAAGGAUUUCAGUUUUGGUCCCAUAGUUUAACCUGUUAAGGAACAUGGGCAGGUUUUUGUAAUGCUGGUAUCAUGGCCUGACAUGAUAUUUGACUGCUGUUAGCUUGUUUCAACAUCAUACUUAACAAUCUAUGUCCGCUUACUUUCAUGCUUCCGUAUGAAAUAAUAUGAGAUCCUUUACUUUCCUAUCUCCGUAUUCAGAUUGCCAUUCAAUUUUUUUGGAUUUAUCUUUGCUUAGUACGAAUCAUGAAUCAAUAUGCUGUUUGUCUUUUUUCUUUUUAUGUGUAUUUUCUUUACGAUGUUAUUUAAAGGAAGAAACUCCAAUCAGAAGAGAUUGUGUAAAAGGUUGUGAGCUUUAGAAAACUCACGAUAUGAUUGUUUUGUUAGAAACUUCAUUGUGACAAACUGAAUAAUAAAAGCUUAAAAAGCAUUGAUAUUAUUUGUCAGAUACAAAAAGAAAAUCGAUGAAACAUCAUGAAUGUAUACCUCUGUUUGGUUUCAGGAUUUCAAUAUUUUGUUUCCUAGCUGUUUUGGUAUCAAUAUUUCAAUACCUCUGAAUUUUUCGUUUCCAUUUGCUUAUUGAUCUGAAGGACUCUAAUGCUACUCAGGUUUCAAACCCUUGUUUAAUAACAAUAUUCUUUUUACCGAAAGGAGGAGGAGUGCAUCUAUAAGUUCAUGUGGCAAAAGCAUGGUGGAAGUCACAAUUCUAGUGCUUUCACUAUGGACAUGGAUGAACAUGACUUCCUUUGUUGGAUGAAUUGCAGCAGCUAACAAGAGAAGGUCAAUACUGGUUUAUAUGCAAGAACUAUAUUCAGUAAAUUUGUUAGAUCACCAUCUCCAAUAAAAGAUCAUUCAAUUUUCUACUUGCUUAUUUUUUUUUCUGGUUCAUUCUGAAUUCUUAGGUGUGCAAUGAUGGAAAAUUGAGCCUGGUCUAUAUGAACAAAAAAUCUCAGGUCUGUCAACAGGAUUUCAAGAUUUUCAUCCUGAGAUACAAUUUCUUUCUCUAGUUCAAUUGCUUAUGCAAAGAGAUGAAAGUUAACUUUUGUGGAUCACUUGAUAGGUUGUGACCAAGUUGAAGAGUAAACGUGCUGGUGGAGCUUUUUCUAAGAACAAUAAACGUAAGCUCUCUCCUUACAGUAUUAUGGUAGUUCACAACCGGAGUUGUUUGUAAACUAUGUGACGGAAGUGAGGCAUGACUCUUCAAUAAAGAGUUGAAACCUAGAUUUGUACCUUGGGAUAAAGACUUCUCAGGAUAUUCUGGAGUUCAAGUGCAAAUACAAAAGCGAUAAACAAAAAAGGGUGGAGAUAGAAUUCAGGAACUUGUUGAUUGAGCCAAGUGAGGGCUCACUGAGAGUGUUGGACAUAAUAAGAACUUUUAUUAGACUGACUUAUUAAGUUUUGUUUUUUCAUUUUUAUGUUAUUAGGUGUAUAAAAAUGUUUAUGAGUUAUGACUGUACUUGGUUUUUUCUGUUGAUCAUUUUUGAGUUAUGAUGUAAGCUACACUUGAAAUGAGAAACUAAGCUCUUCAGGGAGAAUGAUGGAGUUUUAUUUGUAAGGCCAUGGGAUGGAGGAAUUUUAGCUCUUUGAUUUAUAAAGGGAUGGCAUCUCAUGUAGUCAGUCCACGCAAUAGAAUACAUUGAUUUCCAUGUUGGGAAAUAGUUUUCCAUAUUUACUUACUCCAACUUCUUUAGACAAAUUGGGACAGUAUAAAGGUACAACUACUAUUCGCAAGAUUAAAUAUAAGCCAUAAUUGGUUGACAAUUUGUCUUAAUUAACCCGUCUAUUCUAACUGUUAAUUUUUUCUUUUUCCAUAAAGCUAUUUAUUUCUUCCAAAUUUAUUUAGUUUCCUACUCUCCAUUGUAACCUCAUCUUUAUAAACUCCCGUUUGACUAUAGAUUUUGGCUUUAUUCUUUCAAAAAAAUCUAAAAACAUUUUUUGUUUAUGUAAUAUGAUCAGAUUUUGAAGAAAAAAAAUUCAAGUUCUCAAAAACUGGUUUAGGGUAGUGUUUGGGUGAAAUUUUUUAUUGCAGCCACAAAACUUCAAUUUUUCUUUAAAUAAAAUGCAUGUCUAAAUGCAAAUUUAACUUUCAAAAAUUAUUUUUCAACACAAUUUUUUUUUUUUCUAAGGUUCAUUUAAAUUUAUGUCCAGACGCUAGCUAAGGAUUGUUUGGCCAAAAAAGAGAACAAAAUAAAUACAGGGAGAGAGCAACAAUUAAACAAGAUUUGGGAAGUCAUUGGUAGGACAAGUAAGGACAACAUUUUGUUGAAUGUGCUCCUACUACCAACAUUAGGGGUGUACAUAGGUCGGGUUGGUUUGAAUUUUACAAUUACCAAAUCAAACCAAUUAUGUUGGGUUAUUAAAUCUAAAGAUCAAACCAAACCAAUAAAACUCGGGGUUUUCACUCUAGGUUUUUCUCGGGUUUUCGGGUUUUUCGGGGUUUUUUCUGGUAAAAUCUUCGUAGAACAAAACAUAUAAAUUGUGCACAAAAUAUUUCUUUAAUCCUAGUAAGAUACAACUAUAUAAAGUAUUUUCCAAGAAAGUAAUACAAAAUAUGAGAUGUGUCAUGACAUUAUCCUAAAAUAUUCAACAAUAAAGACAAUAUAAUUAUGUAAUAUAAAUAUUGCUAAUUAAAAAGCCAUAAUNNNNNNNNNNNNNNNNNNNNNNNNNACAGAAAUCUGGGUAAGGAAUUUUGUUAACCAGGGAGAAGGUGUUAGGCAUUCCCGGGUUCCGUGGUUCUAGCACGGUCGCUCAACUAUUAUUAUUGGCCUGAUUAUCUGAUUUUUAAAAACACUUUUAAACCUAUGUGCAUUUUUUAACCUUUUAGCCGUUUUUAAUUAUUUAAAGAAAAUUCAAAGGUUAUUUAAAACACAUCGUAAGCCACGCUACAUGAAAUGCACCCGCGUUUCACGACACGUUCUAUUUAACCUUGUUGGAAAUUAGAAUCGGGUCACAUGAAAUAUACACCCGGAUUUAUAACAUGUUUAUUUCAUUAUUAUUAUUAUUUAAAAUUAUGGUAGGGUCACAUGAAAUGCACACCCGAAUUGGGGAUUGCGUAUCGAGACUAUACCACUGAGCCGUACCCAUAGUCACGAUGAUUUAUUAAUCGCGCCUAAAGCAAGCUACGAUAUUCAUGAUUAUUUUCUAAUCUAAUUUGAAAUUAUUGUAAGGUCAUGAAUUAUGGAACAACUUGGAGAAAUAACGUGAAUUAAUUGUUAAGCUAAUGGGCCAAGACACAGAGGUGAUUGGUAUUUAAUGAAUUGGCUUGACAAAUAACGCAUUUGGCCCAUAUUCUGCAGCAAAUAGAUCAAUCCAACUUGAUUCCAACUAAAAUUCAUGCAACCCAACUUAUAAUCAGCUUAAAACUUAGGAACUUUAUGUAUUUCGCCAACUCAAUGUAAUGUUUUGACACCUCUCAUUAUACCAAAAAGGGGGAAGAGAGACGAGAAAUUGGGCUGGUAGUGAUGCAACAGAAGAACGAAAUCUUAAAAAGAAAAGAGAACUCAGCAUUGAAAUCCAUCAAAUGCCCAUUAUAUGUUAUAAGCUACCAACGAAGGACCAAAACAGAAUGGUUUACUAUGAAAUAUACUUCACAAAUUGUAAGUAUUAUAUUGGCUCAAGUUUCAGUUUCUGUGACUCAACCAAGUUAAAUGAAUUAUAUGCUAAGAUCCAACAAUAACCUUUAAAGCCAAAUAACAAGAAUAUGAAGAUAAAAUAAGUGACAACCAAAUGUAUACAUUGAUAAUCUCAAAUAGAUGACUUCAUUGCAUUCAAAAUUGAUAGACUGGAUUUUAAGUCAAGACAAGAGUAUAUCUGACCUUCAAGAUUGAUUUUGAAAUUUGAUAGUUUGACAACUUUGAAGCGUAAAACAAAAGGGAAGGGUCACGGACGAGAACUCGAAUCGGCACCGGAAAGCUCGAAACCAAAACGACCUCAAUCAAACUCCAUCGAAUUUCAAAUUGAAAAUCAGAAGCAUAAACUCUAUACAAAGAAAGUGUAGCCCCUCACAUCAAUCAAACAAAUGAAGCUCUGCCAUAUAACACAUUCCUUUACAGCACCUAACUUAGCUCAACACUGACACUUGCGACAGAAUUUUGGUGCACGACAUCUUAAGAAACCAAUUCUUUAUUUGCAUACACGUUCCAACCUGAGUAAAUAGUCUGACAUCUUUCAACGUUCUUCUCUUAAGAACUAACCAGCAAGCCUUAAAUAAAGAGAUCUAAUGCUCCUACCCAAAAGAUGGAAAGUUAGGUAUGAAUAUCAUUCCAUUAGAACUAAGGCACGAAGUGAAGAUGGCUGCAAGGGGUCACUGAUUUUUGGUGGGCUUCGUCAGUUGGUGUAUAUUGGAGAAGGGGAUCACGGCUGAAGCUUUUUUGGAUUUUUGUUAGGGAUCAAGGGUGCGGCUAACCUCUUCUCAGCUUUAGGAAUUUUGGGAGUCGAAGAUGGGAACAACAGGUUUCAACUCUUAGGCCCUUAGGUCUAGGGUCUUGUUUGUUUUAUAGGAUUUUUUAGAUUAGGGGGUAUGGAUCUAGGAAUUAUGGGCUUGGGAAAUAUGGGCUAGGUCCGAAAAUUAGGCCUAAACAUGGGUCGUUUGAGCCCAAAUUUAUUCUUUCCCCGCGAACGAGACUAAAAAUACAAUCUUAUUUAUUAAUUAAUCCUAUUUAAGUAAAAUAACUAUUAAA